CACUGUUUCACCGGAAAGAAAGAACGAACAAAAUCCAUUCGUCAGCCAUCGAUUUACCAUCAUUUCACCACCGAAAAGAGGAAACACGGUCGAUUCAGAUUCACCUCCGAAUCACCCACUCAAACAGAAAGAGGAAACGCUGGAAAGAAAGAACGAAUAGAUCCUAUUCUCCGUCAAAUUCAGCCCUUCGUCAGCUCACCACCGACGUCCCUCUCUUCAUUGGUAUCUGGUAGAGACUUUAAAAUAUGUUAUAUCCCUCGUCGCAUUGGCAAGAACAUGGAGAACCGAAGGCGUUACCGACGACAACAGGUCGUACUUUUUAUAUAAAUAAACCUUAGAAUCUUGGAUUUUUACUUAUUAGGAGGAAAAAUUGUUGUUAACUUUGUCACCCUGAAUGAUAACUUCUUUUCCCUUGUUGGUUGUGUAUGGAUUGGAAAGUGAGUUUAAGUAAUUUGAUGUUGAUUGUGCCCUUAAUGCUACUGUAAGCAUGUGCUGGUAUACAAGAAGUACAUUUUCUUUCGUUCAAUCCUACCGAUAAGCGGACAAAAAUUACUUAUACUGAUCAAGUGGGUAAAAUGCAUAGAGUAAGCCAAGGUGCACCAGAACAGCAUAAUACCAAAUACUACUACAGAAUUAGGAGUGGUGAUUCUUGAGAAUUUUUGUUUGAAGCACCUCCCGAAGUUGAACCAGAUGCCCCUUACAAAUUUGGGAUCAUUGUUGAUGAAGGAAGAUGAGAAAGACAUGAAUGCUGUCAAGAAUGUUGUUCCUUGGAGAUUGAGGAUCUUGUUCCUGUUCGGAAUGCAAAGAAGCAUAUUUGGGGGCAUGGAUUAGACGUGUACAGGCAGGCGUGCUCUACAGAAUAAUACUGAAGAAAAGGUUUCACAGUUCCCAAAUCAUUGCGCAUGACUGGCACAGCAGCAACAGAAAUCACUGAAUUUGAAAGCAUUUACAAGCUUAAAGUUACAAUCGUGCCUACAAACAAACCUAUGAUAAGAAAGGAUGAAUUUGAUUUAGUUUUUAGGGCUACUA